ACUACGGGAGGCAGCAGUGGGGAAUAUUGCACAAUGGGCGCAAGCCUGAUGCAGCCAUGCCGCGUGUGUGAAGAAGGCCUUCGGGUUGUAAAGCACUUUCAGCGGGGAGGAAGGCGGUGAGGUUAAUAACCUCAUCGAUUGACGUUACCCGCAGAAGAAGCACCGGCUAACUCCGUGCCAGCAGCCGCGGUAAUACGGAGGGUGCAAGCGUUAAUCGGAAUUACUGGGCGUAAAGCGCACGCAGGCGGUCUGUCAAGUCGGAUGUGAAAUCCCCGGGCUCAACCUGGGAACUGCAUUCGAAACUGGCAGGCUAGAGUCUUGUAGAGGGGGGUAGAAUUCCAGGUGUAGCGGUGAAAUGCGUAGAGAUCUGGAGGAAUACCGGUGGCGAAGGCGGCCCCCUGGACAAAGACUGACGCUCAGGUGCGAAAGCGUGGGGAGCAAACAGGAUUAGAUACCCAAGUAGUC
rnacentral:rRNA from 1 species